UGGGGAAUAUUGGACAAUGGGCGCAAGCCUGAUCCAGCAAUGCCGCGUGGGUGAAGAAGGUCUUCGGAUUGUAAAGCCCUUUCGACGGGGACGAUGAUGACGGUACCCGUAGAAGAAGCCCCGGCUAACUUCGUGCCAGCAGCCGCGGUAAUACGAAGGGGGCUAGCGUUGCUCGGAAUGACUGGGCGUAAAGGGCGCGUAGGCGGUUUGGACAGUCAGAUGUGAAAUUCCGGGGCUCAACCUGGGGCUGCAUUUGAUACGUUCGGACUAGAGUGGGGAAGAGGGUCGUGGAAUUCCCAGUGUAGAGGUGAAAUUCGUAGAUAUUGGGAAGAACACCGGUGGCGAAGGCGGCGACCUGGUCCUUGACUGACGCUGAGGCGCGAAAGCGUGGGGAGCAAACAGGAUUAGAUACCCUGGUAGUCCACGCCGUAAACGAUGUGCGCUGGAUGUUGGGCGGCCUAGCCGUUCAGUGUCGCAGCUAACGCGAUAAGCGCACCGCCUGGGGAGUACGGCCGCAAGGUU
rnacentral:rRNA from 1 species